UACGUAGGGUGCGAGCGUUAAUCGGAAUUACUGGGCGUAGAGCGUGCGCAGGCGGUUGUGUAAGACAGGUGUGAAAUCCCGGGCUUAACCUGGGACUGCGCUUGUGACUGCACGGCUAGAGUACGGCAGAGGGGGUGGAAUCCACGUGUAGCAGUGAGAUGCGUAGAUAUGUGGAGGAACACCGAUGGCGAGGGCAGCCCCCUGGGCCGAUACUGACGCUCAUGCACGAAAGCGUGGGGAGCAAACCAGGAUUAGAAACCCCGUA
rnacentral:rRNA from 1 species